GGCUUGGCACAGGGUGGAGUCCAGGGCUUCCUGGUGUCUUCCUGUUGAUCCCACAGUCCUAUCACAGUCCUAUGACGUCUGUGUGACCUUCAUUUACCUAAGGGGGUGGGGGGAGAGAGGAGGCUCUCAAAGAGACCAGUGGAGUGCCCAAGGUCACGGACACUCUUCUGUGACAUCUGCUUCCUCAGCUGCUUGCAGCUGCCAGGGUGAGGAUGUGAGUGGGACCAGUUUGAUCAAACCCCCCUGCUAGGAGAAUUGUCCAGGAGGAGUUAAGUGGUGCAUGGGGUGUCUACAAAGCAGAACAGUUUAGAAUUGACCCAAGAGCUGAGGUCUUCCCAAAGGCAGCCUUGAAACAGAGCUUUGAGGGGUGAGGCACAUUUGGGGAGGAAGGAGCUACCUGUUCAGCACCCAGCCCAGGAUGCCUGCAGCCCCUGCUCUCCCGAAGCUUACAGAGCAGUGGGAGGGAGGGGCCCGGGUGUGGGGCAGAGCACAAGCGAAGACUCAGAAGUGGGAGCAAGCUUGGUGCAGCUAAGGAGCCCCAGGGAGGCCUGCAGAGGGGUGGGCAGGUCGGCCGGAAGCGUGAUGUGGGGUUGAUGAGGGACUCACAGAGCAGUGGCAUCUAUAGGGGGCCCUUGGGUGCUGUAAGGGAGGGACUCUGGGGACAGGCAGACCACCUGCUGCAGACGUCCAAGUGAGAGGGUGACAGGGCAAACAGAGGGACCUCCCUGUCAGGAAUGGUGGGCAGGGGGCAUGCCCCCUCACUGCUGGUUCAUCGCUCCCUCCCGCAGGUGACCCUGAUCCCCACCUUUGACUCGGUGGCUAUGCACGAAUGGUAUGAGGAGACGCACGCCCGGCACCAGGCUCUGGGUAUCACGGUGCUGGGCAGUGACAGCACAGUGUCCAUGCAAGAUGAGGCCUUCCCUGCCUGCAAGGUGGAGUUCUAGCCCCACUCCCACCCACCCCCUCUGCCUAGAACCUGCCACCAUCCUGAGGUUUGCCUGCAUCACAAAUAAACCAGGUACUCCACUCGGCUGUGGCCUCAGUUCCUUUCUCUGGCGGGAGACCUGGCAUCCCGGGGCAGUCAUCGCUGCUGCAUGGUCCACCACUUUGCAGGGAGUAGCUUCUGUGGAAUCCCUGUUCUGGAGGCCGAAAGUCCGGGAGCAGGGAGCAGGAGGUCGGUAUGGUCUGUUUCCGGCACACUUCCCGGCUUGCAGGUGGCUGCCUGCAGACUCUCCUCACGUGGCAAGAGAGCGCCGAAGUUCUCCUGGGUCCUUUCUUACAGGGGCACUGGGGCCUCUUUGGACCUCAUGACCUCACCUAACCCUAAGCACCACCCGAAGGACCCCCCUCCAGACACCACCACACUGGGGAUUCGGGCCUCCCCCUAUGGAUCUAGAGGGCGUUCCGUGCCUGUCUCAGCCCGUCAAUGAGCAGUGUUGUGGUCGGACUGGCCCUUAGGGUUCUUACUAUGAUUGCAAGAUGUCCUUCAGCAACCAUCAGGAAACCCUGACAAAAUAGAUUUAUUACUUACAAGACCUGGAAAUUAAACAGCAUAGCUGGGACCACACGGCAAGGUAACAGGUAGAGGGACACAGCCUGCGAGCCUGGGGUCCUCCUUUGAUUGGAGCCGAGCGUGGGGGCCUAGGGUUUCCCAGGCUCACUCUUCAUUAAACUUUAAAACAGAAGGGCAGGAAUUUGAAGCAUGGGAAGAGAAAACAAGUGGCCCACACGAUCAGUUAGCAAAAUCAGCCAAGAUCUCUCAAACCAAGGGAGCCUCCGUGGGGGAGGUGUCCCGACUCUAUCUGGUCCCUCGGCCAGCCCUGUGUUCCCUGGAGAGGGAGCUCUUUGGGAGCAGAUUCCUCUGAAGUGGAGGCCUCCCAAUCAAAGCUUAUAUCAGGCCCUUGUGUGACAAGAAAAAAAAAAACCCACCUGUCGGGGGCUUAACACUACAGGGGGCACAAUUAAGUUUAUAACAGUCAAGGGUCAGAGUCACCAGGCCAAGGACAAAGUUGUAUUCUGGGACCCGGCUGCCUCGCCGGGGAGCCGCCUGAACAGUCUCCAGGCAUCUUCACGUGAGGCGCGAGGGCUUGACUCCGAGAGCCGGGCAGUUGGAAAGGGCAGUGGAUGUCAGGAGAGCCCGUGGGUGAAGCCAAGGAAGCUGGGGCCCUCGGCCACCAAGCCCCAGGCACCCCUGGACAGAAGUCCCGACCUCACCCUGCCGGGUGUGUGCCACGGGCCCUCCUGCCUGACGUGUAGGACCUGGACCUUUUCUCAGCCUUUCCCCUGUCGUUGCCAGGGUCUAUAUUGGGGAUGAAGCGAGACGUAGGGAUCGCCCCACCCCACAGGGCUGACCGGUUGUCUCAUGCCUAGAAAACUUGAAACAGACUCCUCCUCCUGAAUAAGAUCCUGUGUGUGGGCAUAUAUUUCUGAAUCUACUGUAAUCUGUCACCAACUUCUCUGACCAUCUCUGCACAGUUUUCAUUAGUGUAGCUUUGUGUGUCUUCUUAGUACUUCAGACAGAUCCUCCUGUAUUUUUUUCCUUCAUGUAUUUGCAGGCAUUUUCACAUAUUCCUCUCUCAUGGGAGUUCUCAGAUCUCCACAAGGUUAGGGCAAAACACAUACUUAAGAAGCAUUGUAAACUUCUGCUUCUGACCAGAUAGCAGACUAGAUUCCCAAGCCAAUUCCUCAAUAAAACCAAUUAAGAUUGCUGGAUAAAAAUGAGCUAAAUCCAUGUGCGUCAGCAGCCCAAAAAGAAGGAAUGGUUAGAAGGCCAGAGUACCAGUGCGGGCAGAAGCCCCAGGAGGAAGCAGCUUUUGUGUCAGACAAUGUCCGUUUGGUCUUCUGUUUCCGUGGACCUUCAGGAUGGUAGAGAUGUUUAGUCAAGACCUCAGGCCUGAAGCCGAAAUCAAAAUAAGAUCUUCCCAGGAAUGGAAAGGGCACUUGGGUAUCUCUAACUUGCUGCCAGCAGGAGUGCCCUCACAUGAGAGCAUUUCCAACGUUACCUGGGCAUCCCAAGGCCUCCAGUGGACAAUAUGGCUUAGGGCAGUCCGGCGUGGCAGUGACCCCACAGGUCUGCUGGGAGGACCUUCAACCCUCACCUUAAAGAGGUCCGCCAGUCAUGUCCCAGGAACUGUGAGGGUGCAUCAAAACGCACAACCUGUCAGCGUGAGUGGGAGCCGGCAGACGUGGUGGCAUCCUCAGACCCAGGAAUCCUGAAACUGGGUCAAAUGUAGUUUAACCCUGAAAUGUGGACAAGGAGCAGGAGGAAACAGUAUUAUUUGCAGAACAAUCGAAUAGAACUACAACUAAAAAGAAAAGAAAUGAGAUUUCAAACCCUGGGCGUGGCUAACUGGGUUUGAGGUAGCUGAAGAAGGAACCAGUGAACUGGGGGACAGAGCUAAGGAAAUUUCCCAAACACGGGAAGAGGAAAGGCAGGUUACGAGACACAGGGGAGGAAGCAGCAAGCUCUGAAGGGGAUGAUGGUGGAGAACUUUCCAGAACUGAUGAAAGACAGUUACUCUUACAGAAAUUUCUCCGAAAGCCAGCCAGUCCCCAGCAGGGUAUGUAUAGUAAGACAGAAUACCAGAAAAAAAGUGCAGAAAACCAAAGUUAACAAAAAAAUGAGAAUGAUGGACAAAGAGCCAGCUCCUCAGCCCCACAACGUGGAUCUCGGGACAUCGCAGGGUGGGAUGGGGGUGGGGACGCCAUCUUCAAGGUGCUGGAGAAAAUAGCAACCCCAAAAAUGCUCACCCAACAGAAAUAUCUUUGGGGGAUGAGAUAGAAAUGAAGACCCUCAUUGGAUGAAAUCCUGAGGGGAUUUUUUUUUUUCAGGCAGAAGGAAAGUGAUCCAGGUAGAAGGGCUGACAUGCAGGGGAAAACGGCAGAAAAGUGGUAAGUAUGUGGGUGUGUCCACUGUGUAGAAUUAAAAACUAAAUUUAGUGGCAAAUAACAGCCAAGUAGAGUAAGUUUUUAAAAUCUUCGUAUUUGAGGGAGGGAUAACAUUACUUGAUUGAACAGGAUUAAUAGCUACAGUAAAUACCAGGAGAACAGAAUUAGUCUAUAUAACUUCCAAGUCAGAGGGGGAAUAUCAGAAUGAAAAAUAACCCAAAACAAUCCUUCCAUAGGGGAGGAGGUACAAAUAGAAAGCCCAAAAUAAGAUAAUGAAAUGCAUAAAAUUUGCCAGUAAUUACAAUUUGUGUAAAUAGAUCCAAGAACUCCAGUUAAAAGACAAAAAAAGAUUGUCAGGCUGUAUUUUUUUUUAAUUCAAGUGUUAUGCUAUUUACACAAAACAUCUAAACAUGAAGAUGCUGGAAAUUUGAAAGUAAAGGAUGGGAAAAAACCUGGCAAAUAUAAUGAAAAAAAAUUAAAGCUUAUAUACAAAUAUUAUUAAAGUUAUAUUUUUGGUAUACUCUAUAAAUAAGGAAUAUCAAAUCAGAGCUUUUAAUUCACCAAGAAGAUGUAACAGUUCCAAACUGGUGUGCACCUAAUAAUACAGCAUCAUAUAAAGAAAGUUAAGACUCACUGGAAGGAAUCAUAAGUUUAUCUUUUUAAAAACCUAUUAAUAGGUUUUCUAACACUGAUGCAUGCUGACAUUCCUAGAAAUAAUUCCACUUUGAUUUUAUUUUAAUAAGCCUUUUUUCACGGGGAAGGGGGAGGUUCUGGGCUUUUUGCCCUAAAUACUUGGUGAAUCUUGUCCUUCCGAUUUCUGCUAUUGCUGUGUUUCUUGACAUUCUCACUCAGCAGUCCCCCUGUCAGAACACCCACCUGCUAGAACGUGUGGUGAGCCAGGGGAAGAUCCAAGGCAAAUCACAGACCAGCGCUAAGGGCUUCCACUAGGGAAUGACAGGCUACUUCUGCCCUCCUCUGAGGGACCAAAGCAAGUCACAUGACCGCCUAAAAUUCGGGAGCUGAGAGGUACCAUCUGGAAAGAGGAGAAUCAAAUAGGAUGAAAAUCAACAAAUAACUACUGAUGGAUCACCCCCAGAGAGUUUUGUCCUGGCUAGGGUUAGCAAACUCACUGUCAGGAGCCAGAUAGAACAUUUUUUGGUGGUGUGGGCCAUACAGUCUGCUCAGGCCACUCAAGUUGCCUGUUGUAGCUGAACAAAUGGACAUGGCUACA